rnacentral:rRNA from 1 species
UACGUAGGGGGCAAGCGUUGUCCGGAAUCAUUGGGCGUAAAGCGCGUGUAGGCGGCCAGGUAAGUCCGUUCUGAAAGCCCGGGGCUCAACCCCGGGAGGCGGAUGGAUACUGCUUGGCUCGAGUCCGGAAGAGGCGAGUGGAAUCCCGGUGUAGCGGUGAAAUGCGCAGAUAUCGGGAGGAACACCAAUGGCGAAGGCAGCUCGCUGGGACGGUACUGACGCAGACGCGAAGAACUGGGAGGGACAAACAGGG